rnacentral:rRNA from 1 species
CAGUAGCCGCGGUAAUACGAGGGGGGCAAGCGUUGUUCGGAUUUAUUGGGCGUAAAGGGUGCGUAGGCGGUUUGGCAAGUCUUGUGUGAAAUCUUCGGGCUCAACCCGAAGCCUGCACGAGAAACUACCGGGCUUGAGUAUUGGAGAGGUGAGUGGAAUUUCCGGUGUAGCGGUGAAAUGCGUAGACAUCGGAAGGAACACCUGUGGCGAAAGCGGCUCACUGGACAAUAACUGACGCUGAUGCACGAAAGCUAGGGGAGCAAACAGGAUUAGAUACCCCCGUAGUCCCUGUCUCUUAUAC